CGAGUACGAGCUCGACGGCGGCUGAGCAUCGUCGGCUUCGGGAGUUGGAGACUCGCGAGUACGAGUACCCACAUGGGUCUGUAGAUUGAGAGAGCAGUCAGGCGGCGGCGACUCGCGAGUACGAGCUCGACGGCGGCUGAGCAUCGUCGGGUUCGGGAGUUGGAGAGGAUGAGGGGGAGGCGGCGGCGCGGCGGGCGCCUGGAGUCUCGGCAUCCGACCUCAGGUCCAAGCUGCCGACGGAGGCUGUUGCGCCGCGAGCACGCUGAGCCUGAGGUAGCUGGACGACGGCCACAGCGAUGCACGAGGAGGCGAGCCCGAGGCGGUGGGUGGCGGCGGAUCCAGUCAUGCUCCUCCUGAAUUCCCCGUCGUUGUGCUACCGAGGGCGUCUUCACCCAGAUCUCCUCACGCCGGUGCGCAUGGCGACUCCUGCCGCUGGUUCCGCCUGCCGGUCGCGACGACGUAAACGAAUAGAGCAUGUGCUCGCGGCGGAGGAUGCUCUCUCGCUCCCGCGGAACGCUUGCCUCGCCCGCCGCCACGGACAAGGCAACAAAAUGGAGCAUAUUCCAGAAGGAUUUAUUUUGCACAUAAAAGUGAUGGCUUGGGCCUUCGGCACCAUGGCGGCAUCAGUUUGCAUGUUGUCGCUCCACUUGUAUUGCUGGUUGCAAAGAAAGGUGCGAACAGUCCAUUAGGAGGUGAAACUUAAGCACUAUAUAGUGAAAAUUUCCCUAGCAUUGUGCAAGCUGCUGCUGUUGCAUUUAAAUCGGUUUGUCCAAAUCGACAGUCCGAGGCUCCAAUCGAUGCAGUC